UUGGAGUCAUAUUCUUGUUUCAAAGAAUAAACCAAGCAAGUUUAAGUAUAAACAAUUUAUACUGUGAAACUGCGAAUGGCUCAUUAAAUCAGUUAUAGUUUAUUUGAUAGUACCUUUACCUGGAUAACCGUGGUAAUUCUAGAGCUAAUACAUGCCAAAAACCCCGACUCCGGAAGGGGUGUAUUUAUUAGAUAAAAAACCAAUGCCCUCCGGGGCUCCUUGGUGAUUCAUGAUAACUUAACGAAUCGCAUGGCCUUGCGCCGGCGAUGGUUCAUUCAAAUUUCUGCCCUAUCAACUUCGAUGUAGAUAGC
rnacentral:rRNA from 1 species